rnacentral:rRNA from 1 species
CCAGACUCCUACGGGAGGCAGCAGUGGGGGGUAUUGCACAAUGGGGGAAACCCUGAUGCAGCGACGCCGCGUGAGUGAAGAAGUAUUUCGGUAUGUAAAGCUCUAUCAGCAGGGAAGAAAAAAGACGGUACCUGACUAAGAAGCCCCGGCUAACUACGUGCCAGCAGCCGCGGUAAUACGUAGGGGGCAAGCGUUAUCCGGAUUUACUGGGUGUAAAGGGAGCGUAGACGGCAAUACAAGUCGGAAGUGAAAUACCCGGGCUCAACCUGGGAAUUGCUUUGGAAACUGUAUGGCUGGAGUGCUGGAGGGGCAAGCGGAAUUCCUAGUGUAGCGGUGAAAUGCGUAGAUAUUAGGAGGAACACCGGUGGCGAAGGCGGCUUGCUGGACGGUAACUGACGUUGAGGCUCGAAAGCGCGGGGAGCAAACAGGAUUAGAUACCCUUGUAA